GAUUAGCUCAGUUGGUAGAGCAUGAGACUUUUAAUCUCAGGGUCAUGGGUUUGAGCCUUAUACAAAGCA